rnacentral:lncRNA from 1 species
CACUACUCCUCUAGUACUUCUCAAGUACUUUGAGAUUGUAUUUCAUUGUUUUUCAAAAGAUCCUAUCAUGGAUCUAUCUGAAAUCAAUGAUUAUGCACAAGGCAUAAAUCACAUUAAGCUUAGUACAUUGAAUAUAUGGGUAAGUAAACUCCUUUACACCCAUUCAUGUUGAACCCUUUCAACUUAAAUUCUAUGUACCU